rnacentral:rRNA from 1 species
UUCGGGUUGUAAAGCUCUUUUGUCCGGAAAGAAAAGCUUUCGGUUAAUACCCGGAAGUCCUGACGGUACCGGAAGAAUAAGCACCGGCUAACUUCGUGCCAGCAGCCGCGGUAAUACGAAGGGUGCAAGCGUUACUCGGAAUUACUGGGCGUAAAGCGUGCGUAGGUGGUUCGUUAAGUCUGAUGUGAAAGCCCUGGGCUCAACCUGGGAAUUGCACUGGAUACUGGCGGGCUAGAGUGCGGUAGAGGAUGGCGGAAUUCCCGGUGUAGCAGUGAAAUGCGUAGAGAUCGGGAGGAACAUCCGUGGCGAAGGCGGCCAUCUGGACCAGCACUGACACUGAGGCACGAAAGCGUGGGGAGCAAACAGGAUUAGAUACCCUGGUAGUCCACGCCCUAAACGAUGCGAACUGGAUGUUGGGUGCAACUAGGCACUCAGUAUC